rnacentral:rRNA from 1 species
AACGAACGCUGGCGGCAUGCCUAACACAUGCAAGUCGAACGAAGGCUUCGGCCUUAGUGGCGCACGGGUGAGUAACGCGUAGGAAACUGCCUAUUGGUGGGGAAUAACGACGGGAAACUGUCGCUAAUACCGCAUAAGCCCUUCGGGGGAAAGAUUUAUCGCCGAUAGAUGUGCCCGCGUCCGAUUAGCUAGUUGGUGGGGUAAUGGCUCACCAAGGCGACGAUCGGUAGCUGGUCUGAGAGGAUGAUCAGCCACACUGGGACUGAGACACGGCCCAGACUCCUACGGGAGGCAGCAGUGGGGAAUAUUGGACAAUGGGCGAAAGCCUGAUCCAGCAAUGCCGCGUGAGUGAUGAAGGCCUUAGGGUUGUAAAGCUCUUUCGGGUUGGACGUUGAUGACGGUACCAACAGAAGAAGCCCCGGUUAACUUCGUGCCAGCCGCCGCCGUAA